UGGGCGAAAGCCUGACCGAGCGACGCCGCGUGCGGGAUGAAGGCCUUCGGGUUGUAAACCGCUGUCGUUGGGGAGGAAAUGCAGGGGGGUUCUCCCCUCUGUUUGACCUAUCCAAGGAGGAAGUACGGGCUAAGUUCGUGCCAGCAGCCGCGGUAAGACGAACCGUACGAACGUUAUUCGGAAUUACUGGGCUUAAAGGGUGCGUAGGCUGCGCGGAAAGUUGGGUGUGAAAGCCCUCAGCUCAACUGAGGAACUGCACUCAAAACUACCGUGCUCGAGGGAGACAGAGGUAAGCGGAACUCAAGGUGGAGCGGUGAAAUGCGUUGAUAUCUUGAGGAACACCGGUGGCGAAGGCGGCUUACUGGGUCUUUUCUGACGCUGAGGCACGAAAGCUAAGGUAGCAAACGGGAUUAGAUACCCCGGUAGUCUUGGCUGUAAACGAUGAGCACUUGUUUGAAGGGUCCUCCAUAGCCUUUCAGACGUAGCGAAAGUGUUAAGUGCUCCGCCUGGGGA
rnacentral:rRNA from 1 species